CAAAAGGGCUGUUUGGACAGGAAAUAGGUGUUGAGAGGAUCAAACUUGACUUUGUUCGUCAGGAUCUCUAGUUGAGAGCUUGAGUGUGGUUAGAGGUCGUGGGGGCCGGGGUCCUCUCCAGCAACGGGCUUCCUCGCCCUCACACCUGGAGGGGGUCGUGCCCCUGAACUCAGGGGGUCGUUGAAUCCACGGGAGGGCGGGCGGCGGGGGCUCGGGCGCGAGUGCGGUCACUGGUCGGCGUCGCCGGGGCUAUCCCUCCCACCCCCAGGACCCCCCCCAACUACUGUGUGCUCUGGGCUUACCCCCAGCACCUCCUCCUACAGUGUCCCCGGACUCACCCCCAGGAACCCCCCCAACAGUGUCCCCCGGACUCACCCCCACCACCUCCGCCUACAGUGUGCCCCGGACUUGCCCCAGCCCCUCCCCCAUUACAGUAUCCCCCGGACUCACCCCCAACACCUCCCCCUACAGUGUGCCCCGGACUCACCCCCAGCCCCUCCCCCUGCAGUGUGCCCCGGACUCACCCCAGCACCCCCAUCAACUACAGCGUGCUGCGGACGGGGCAGCGGGCUGGCAUCCUUAGUGUGCCCCGGAUUUGUUGUUGAGGAGCUCAUUGACUUCAUUCUGUGUAGCACAAGCACCUCCUGUCUCUGAGUUAGGACCUACAUAGUAUGGUCUGAGAAGGGUCUACAUAAGAAGCUACAGGUAAAGGCUUAUGAUUUUAUAUACACAUAUAUGUGUGUGUGUGUGUGUGUGUGUAUGUAUAUAUAUAGUCUGUGUUAGGGGUUUGCUGGAAAUUCAGCUGCAGACUGUGCUGGUCUGACUUAAUGACUAAUGACGCGUCUAUAUUUGCUAACAAAUAUAUGUUAUAAUCUCCUUGGCAGUGUAGGUAAGAGUUGAUUUAGAAGCAAGGAAUGCCUGAAAACUUGCUUCCUGCCCUCCCAGAUAUGUGCGUAUACAUACAAAUGUCCAUAUACACAUUCCAUAUUUCUUUUUUUUUUAGGAUUUAUUUAUUUGGCAGGGGGGUUUGGUGGAGAAGGAGAAUCUCAAGCAUUCAUGACCCCAAGAUCAUGACCCAAGCCAAAACCAGGAGUCAGAUGCUCAACUGACUGUGCCACCCAGGUGCCCCUCACAUCCCAUAUUUCUUAAAUUAGGGAUUUGGGGUUCAAAAUUGAUUUAAAUUUUAGGUUUGAGUUAGUCAACUUUCACAAGGUGGAUUAUUCUGAUUCUUUUAUUAAAAGGGCAUCAACGGGGCGCCUGGGUGGCUCAGUUGGUUGAACGACUGCCUUCGGCUCAGGUCAUGAUCCUGGAGUCCCAGGAUCGAGUCCCACAUCGGGCUCCCUGCUCAGCAGGAAGUCUGCUUCUCCCUCUGACCCUCUUCCCUCUCGUGCUCUCUGUCUCUCAUUCUCUCUCUCUCAAAUAAAUAAAUAAAUAAAAUCUUUUAAAAAAAAGGGGGGGGGGCAUCAACGUGCAGCAUUCAGAAACUGGAGUUUGAAUUGAGAUUGGAGGGAGAUUUAGAAAGCGUAUAGAUCCGGUGGACAGAGGAUUUGAAAACGUGCUGCCUGAGAAAAUGGGAUCGAACACAGGGAUGGGGUCGGGAUGAAGUACCUUUGCCUGUUUGGCUGUUAGGCAUUCUGUAAGGGCCUGUUAAAGUGCCUUCUUCAAACAAGGUAGUGUUUGCUGUUGGGUUACAGAGAUUAAUCUGAUAGAGAGCCUGCCCAGAAGAGGGCCACAGCUCUGUAACAGCUGAUCUGGAAUCAGCUAAAGUGAAGUAAAUACUGUGCCACAGCUCAUACCUAAUGGAGCGUAUAUUGAGUAUGAGAGACUAGAAUUCAUCCCUUCUUCCCGGGUCAUCUUUGUUCAGCCUUGACUUUCUAAAUUUGCUGGUUAUCUACCCCUCCAAUUCCUGCCUUCUUUGUUAGACUAUGAGCUAGUGAUAUGUGCUAUCAUUCUACUCCUUUCCAAAAUGAAUUGUAAGAUUUUUCCUAAUAGAGAGACUAUUGUUCUGUGUCUCUUAACAAGCAAGGGAAGAAA
rnacentral:lncRNA from 1 species